CCGCCCGCCCGGCCCCCUGGCAGCCGCCGGGCCGGGCCAUGGCGGCGGCCGCGCUGUGCCUCGGCCGGGCCCGUCCGCCGCGGCCGCUCGUGGUGAUCCUCGGCGCUACCGGCACCGGCAAGUCGGCGCUGGCGCUGCAGCUGGGGCUGCGCCUCGGCGGCGAGAUCGUCAGCGCCGACUCCAUGCAGGUGUACGAGGGCUUGGACAUCAUCACGAACAAGGUUUCUCCCCAGGAGCAGCGUCUGUGCAGGCACCACAUGAUCAGCUUUGUGGAUCCCCUUGUCUCUAACUACACGGUGGUAGAUUUCAGAGACAAAGCUGUGCCUCUGAUUGAAGAUAUCUUUGCCCGAGACAAGAUCCCGAUUGUUGUGGGAGGAACCAACUACUACAUUGAGUCCCUGCUUUGGAAGGUCCUCAUCAACACCAAGGUACAGCUGGGGGGCUGCGUAUCCCACUGCGAAAAGGAGAGGGCCAGCACAGCCCCGGGGCCGGUCAGCGACAGGAAGGUGGAGCUGGAGCAGCUGGAUGGUGGUGAGCUCUAUCGCCGCCUGAGCAGGGUGGACCCCGAGAUGGCAGCCAAGCUGCACCCCCAUGAUAAGCGCAAAGUAGCCAGGAGCCUCCAAGUGUUUGAAGAGACGGGGAUCCCCCAUAGUGAAAUCUUGCACCAGCAGCAGGAGGAGGAAGGUGGAGGGCCCUUAGGUGGGCCCCUGAAAUACCCACAUUCCUGCAUCUUGUGGCUCCAUGCAGACCAGGCAGCUCUGGACCAGCGGCUGGAGAAGCGGGUGGAUGACAUGCUGGCUGCGGGGCUGCUGGAGGAGCUGCGCGACUUCCACCGCCGCUACAACCAACAGAAGGUGGCUGAGAACCGGCAGGAUUACCAGCACGGCAUCUUCCAGUCCAUUGGCUUCAAGGAGUUCCAUGAGUACCUCAUCAGUGAAGGGAAGUGCUCACCUGAGACCAGCGCCCUGCUGCUGCAAAAAGGGAUCCAGGCCCUGAAGCAGGUGACCAAGAGAUAUGCCCGGAGGCAAAACAAAUGGGUCCGAAACCGCUUCCUGAAACGUCCCGGGCCCAAUGUGCCCGCAGUGUAUGGCUUGGAGGUGUCUGAUCUCCUGCGGUGGGAAGAGAAUGUGCUGAAACCUGCUCUGGAGAUUGUGGAGAGCUUCAUCCAGGGCCGGGAGCCCCCAGCAGAGCCUGUGAAGAUGGAGCACAAUGUAAAGGAGAACAAGCGGAGUCACCGCGUGUGUGAGCUCUGUGACAGACUCAUCAUCGGGGACAGGGAGUGGGCAGGGAUUGUUUACAGCCCGGGAUGAAAGGAGCCAUUUGCAAGCCCAGGGGGGUGCAGGAGCUGUGCCACAGCAGCCAUCUGUCGGGCUUCCCCCCUUCCCUGCACCCAGUCACUGCCCCAUCAUCACGCCAGGCGUGAGGAUCUAUAGGUACCAUCGAGCCUCAGAGCUGUUUGUUUAGUGAGGGCUGCUGGCCCUUUUCAGCACUUUCAGCUCACACACGAUCCAAAUCCCACCUGCACCAUCUGAAGAGGAGAAGGAAGCUGGAGGCCACCGGCCGUGCUGCAGAGGCUGAGGGGGACAGUGCGGGUGCAGCGACGUCGGAUGAGGACAGCAGCCAGCCUUCGCCAUAGGGCUCCAACCUGCCUCUGGAGGGGAGGAAGCGACUUGGUCCUUGGUGGCCUUGGACUGAGCGAGCUGAGUCAUUUUUUGGGGCUGAGGCAGGUGUGUAAGUGAUGGCCAAAGGCUGCAUCGGAUCCUCUUCAUGUGGCGUCAUCGUGCCGUGUUCCCAUGCUUCCCCAGCCCUGCCUGGAAAGGGCUGGGCCCUGGGGCAAGGCUGCUAGGAGCAUCCUCCCGUGCCAGGUGUUAAUUCCUGCCAGAGACGCAGCAUUAUCCUUGGAAUGGUAGAGCUGACAUGUGAAUGUGUCCUGCUUGGAGACAGAAACACCCUGCCCUCCUCCAGCUUGGCCAGGAGCGCAGCUCCAGAGCUGGGCGAGCUCUUGCUGCCUUUAUUGUGGAGAGAAAUAUUUUCUUCUUUUAUAUGGAAAUAAAGUUGCAAACUGAUUGUGGGUUCCUCUCCCCAUUAA